UACGGAGGGGGCUAGCGUUAUUCGGAAUUACUGGGCGUAAAGCGCACGUAGGCGGACUGGAAAGUUGGGGGUGAAAGCCCAGGGCUCAACCCUGGAACUGCCUUCAAAACUCCCAGUCUUGAGGUCGAGAGAGGUGAGUGGAAUUCCCAGUGUAGAGGUGAAAUUCGUAGAUAUUGGGAAGAACACCGGUGGCGAAGGCGGCUCACUGGCUCGUAUCUGACGCUCAGGCGCGACAGCGUGGGGAUCAAACAGG
rnacentral:rRNA from 1 species